rnacentral:pre_miRNA from 1 species
UGAUAUGUUUGAUAUUAGGUUGUUAAUUGGGAAACCAACUAAAUAUCAAACAUAUUCUUA